AAACCAGCACCUCAAGUGGUCAGGAUGAUUAUUGGGCCUAAAGCAUCCGUAGCCGGCUCUGUAAGUUUUCGGUUAAAUCUGUACGCUCAACGUACAGGCUGCUGGGAAUACUGUAGAGCUAGGGAGUGGGAGAGGUAGACGGUGCUCGGGAGGAAGUGGUAAAAUGCUUUGAUCUCGCGAUGACCACCUGUGGCGAAGGCGGUCUACCAGAACACGUCCGACGGUGAGGGAUGAAAGCUGGGGGAGCAAACCGGAUUAGAAACCCGAGUAGUCC
rnacentral:rRNA from 1 species